rnacentral:lncRNA from 1 species
GAAGAUGGUGCAAGACAAGGAGGACUGCGUGCUUAUGGGGUGAGUGCUGCAAAGGACUGCAUCAGGGAGCUGAUGCCUUGAGUAGCAGGAGAAGAUCGGUUAAGCAAGCACGUGUGCACCCGCAUGUGUCGGUUUGCCCCCCCGCUGUGCCAUUUUCCGCCUUCUGUGACUCAUUUCCGCAGACCGCACAUCUGUGGCCUCCCUGGUGUGUUGGCGCGAACUUCGUUCCAUCUGCCUGCGCUGCUCCUAAACCCCGUAAUGUCUAUCGUUCCUAAUCUGUUGCCCGUUCGUCACAGGGACCUGUCAUGGCGCGCAAGCUGAACGAGUGCCUGGAGCGGCGGUCUUCAGCCCCCGGUGGUCAGCUCUGCGCCAUGCGCCCACUUACGACUGCCAUGUGUGUAGAGCAGCUGCUCUGAGCAUCACAUAGGCAGGAGUGCCAAGCUAAGCCUGCCUGCCUAAGCCAGACCGUGCAGCUGUGUGUGGAUUUGGCGAUCUAGCUCUUAGGACUUUACAUUGUCAAGCAACAUUAAAAAACAGGGACAUAUGUUGCAGGAUUGCGCACGUCGCAGCUCUGUUGUUAGCUAUUGCUCAUAUUGGCGGCGUAUUGCUGGCUCUUAUUUUAGCAUUUCCAUUUAUCCGUUACUGUACAAUAUGGAACAGGCAAUCACGUGCUGUUGAACGGCAGAGAGCAGCCUUUUUGCGUGUUGCCAUCGUUGUGCUUAUCUAGACAGAAUAAGGGUGUCGACAUCGGUCACCCCUGGUGUUGCUUGCUUCUGUUGCCUGUUGUGCAGUGGUAGUGGCGCCAAUGCCAGGGGGCGGCCUUCCCCUGCUGGCGAGCGCAAUUUCCUGUCGAGAAGAAAAGGGGUGCUUGGUUGCCCGUAUAGUUAGUUGUUGGCGGCGUAUGAUGUCAUUACAUAGUUGCGCGGUGUCAACAGCUGCUGGCGAGGAGCCGUGUCAAGGGUCCUUUGCAUGGCAAAUGGUAGCACCGACCUCGUUUGCGUAUGCGUCUCGUUGGGGAGCCCCGUGAACGUACGUAGGUCGCACAACUGUAGGAAUGAGUGUCUUUCAUGAGGUUGUGCAUUGCCUCCUGACACCCAGCUAUCGCUCGGAAAUCUGAUAUAUGUACACGCGUCGUGCUAUUUACGCAUCCUGUGUAAAACUGUGCAUUGAACGAUGGAAUGAUUCAUUCGGUGAUCACCUCGCCGAGUUUUGACUCGCCAAAAGAAGGUUGGGUUGGGUUCACACUUUACCUGUUUACCUUUACCCCGUUUGACCCACAAAUCAGCAGAAAAAGGAGCAGCAGUCAAAAAUGGUGUCAUAAUUGGCGUGAUCCGGAUGGGCUGGUCCCUCGGGGAACUUACGAAUGCGCAAGAGGAUGAGGAUGAGGACGAAUGGCCCAACAUGGCACGUCCAAACGCAAUGCCGGCUCAACUUGUUGCCGUUAGUUUACAAGUGCCGCACGAGUGCGGGGGUGUCCGUCCGUGAAAGACCGGGGGCCAUGGAUUAUAUAUAUUGAAAGAUAGUUCCUCGGUACGACCGAUGGCGGUUUGGGUCUUUUUGCCACCGCUACCUCUCCUCAUCCAGUCACCCGACAUCCGUAGAGACAGGCCAGCCAUCAACACCAUGCCACUCCAGCAUGCGAAAUUUGGUACAUCAACUAGACCUCAUCUCCACACCCCAGUAGCAAUCCGUAAACCUGCUACUCUCGAACAAUGUCCGGGAUCUACCCAGGAAUCGAACCUAGUUAUUGCGGCUAUGAAGGGAGUUUUGAAGGGCUGCAGUGAUGAUCCGCGAGCAGUGCGGUGAAGGCGCAAUGGAAAAGUGAGGGGCGUCGAGGGAGACCCUCCCGGUUAGUUGGUGACGAUACAAGCUGGUGCGAAUGCAUUUUGAGGCCCUUUACAACGUUGAGAUCAAUGCAUUUAGUGAUCCUAGCGUGAGCGCCAUUUCCAAUUUGAUUAAUGGGGUGGGAGGAGGUGAGAGUAGCGCCUUGAACACGCAUAUGAACACACAACCUCUCACACACACCCACAAACGGAGGCCGGUGGACUGCCCAACCACAAGUUAGCCCGGUUAAGAAGGUCUCAGGAAACUCUCGUUCGUUCUGCAGAGCCUCACGAAGAGACAAAGCUACAGUACAGUCCCAGAAAUGAUGCCGACGAUCCCACCAUAGCAGGCAGCCGGGAAUUAAGAUGUGUCGGUACGAGCAGUGGAUGGGGCCCUCGUAACAUACGGUGGGCUAAUCCCGCCAACUCGACAUGUAACUCUCAUGCGGUUUAGGAUGUGUGUUUCGGAGCUAUCGGUUAACAGGCUGCAUGAACGGGCUAGGGAGCACAGACGUGCAACAACAAUAGCACUGUGGAAGACGAGAAACAGGCUGACGCUAGGCAGGCCAUUGGAGAGUUGGGGGUUCCACUGAGCACGAGCAGCUGGACACCAUACAAGGGAAGACCAGCGCAGAUUAGGGAAAGCGAAAAAAAGCAUGUUCUGCGCAAAACGCAGCUUAAAGCGCUAGCGCUUUCUUGCUUGUGGCGGACUGUUCGGCUACUCAGUUGUGUAUCAAACAAAAACAAACUAUCUGAGUCGGCUUUCGGCGACGUUUAUGUUAGUGCUUUGUUAAUGAUUAUUUGAUGUUAUGUUAAUGUUUCGUUAGGUAUUCGUCUUUGCCAGUCCAAGGCGGCCCGUGAGCCUCCGGGUUGACCGAAGCUUGUAAAUCACCACCAAAUCAUCAUCAAGUCAAAGAAGGAUGCCGAAUAAAAUCUAAACUUACUUUUAAUUUAAAUUACUUCUUACACAUUUGAAGUUGUCAAUGCUACUGAGAUUGCGCUGUCCAGUGCAUGCCAUGCACCUGCGGAAGACUUUGUAAUUAGAUCAUGGGCAGAGCUAUCUAGGACAUUCUGGUACUGAAAUAUAUUUUAGAAUGUUAACAAUGCGUUCAGCACGCUUCACGGAGCUUUCACGGCUACUUCACGGCUAUCUACCCGUGAAAAAUCCGUUUCCGUACCACAAAUGCCUAAGUAAAUGGUGUUUCCCCACCAAUGUCGGCACAAACCUACUGCGUGCAUAGCAAGGUUAAUCUCUUACUUCAUUUCCAAAAAAACCGAGGGCCUUCGUACACCUUACCAGCGAUUACAUCCCAACCGUAUCGCACGACAUUAAAUUUGUUAUCCUGACGUGCACAUUUAACCAUGGGAUUUCGCUUCUUGGCAAAGAUCGUCCUGUUCGCUGCUGUCCUUGCGGCAGUUACCGGCAGCGCCGCUGCAGGCCCACUAGCCUACGGUAUCUGCCAGUCGGGAUGCAAUGCCAUAGCCGUAGCGUGCUAUGCAUCGGCAGGGCUUACUUUUGGCGCCGUAACUGCGGGUAGGUGUGGUGGAGAUGCGGAGCUGUGAAAAUGAAUGCAUGGUGGAGGGAACUCGUAGUCAUGAAAUGCCUCCGGUCACUGCUACAUGUUACACCUAGAUGGACAAUCUUUGGUUGCUGAUCCUAACUCCCGAACACCGUGUAUUGCUCGCUGCGUGCUGCACUGAAUGCUUAUAGGCUUUGGCGCCCCGGCGGCAGCCGUUGCCUGUAACCUGGCACUGGGAAAGUGCAUGGCGUGCUGUAUCGCGGCUGGCUUUGCGCCCACUUUUUGAAGAUGGUGCAAGACAAGGAGGACUGCGUGCUUAUGGGGUGAGUGCUGCAAAGGACUGCAUCAGGGAGCUGAUGCCUUGAGUAGCAGGAGAAGAUCGGUUAAGCAAGCACGUGUGCACCCGCAUGUGUCGGUUUGCCCCCCCGCUGUGCCAUUUUCCGCCUUCUGUGACUCAUUUCCGCAGACCGCACAUCUGUGGCCUCCCUGGUGUGUUGGCGCGAACUUCGUUCCAUCUGCCUGCGCUGCUCCUAAACCCCGUAAUGUCUAUCGUUCCUAAUCUGUUGCCCGUUCGUCACAGGGACCUGUCAUGGCGCGCAAGCUGAACGAGUGCCUGGAGUGGCGGUCUUCAGCCCCCGGUGCCAAGCUAAGCCUGCCUGCCUAAGCCAGACCGUGCAACUGUGCGCGGAACAUUGGAAAACAGGGACAUAUGUUGCAGGAUCGCGCACGUCGCAGCUCUGUUGUUACCUAUUGCUCAUAUUGGCGGCGUAUUGCUGGCUCUUAUUUUAGCAUUUCCAUUAUC